AUUGUCAGAUUGACACUUUCUUAAACUUUCAAGAGCUUGCUUUCCCUUUUCUCUUUCUGUUUGUUGACAUUCAUCUCUCAUUCCUUUAUCUCUUCCUCGAUUUUGUGUUCAAGAGACCAUUGAAGACAUGGCAAGAGAGUCAAGAAUCCACACCAACAGGAUUUAUCCUCGUCUGCGUGUGGCUUGGUCAAGGGUCAUGAAUUGUAUACUGUGUAACAGAACAAGAUUUGGGUGGCUAAGGUAGCGCCACAUGUUUGUACCUCACAUGCCAGAGUAUACCAACCUGAUGAUAAGUACAAAUCAAAACAGAGAACAAUUUUUGGACCUUUUUGUGGAAAAUAUAUUUUUAGUUUGCAAAAAGAUGACCAAUUCAUGUGCUAGAAGGAUACGGAGUUAAGUCGGGGACAUGUGUGGUGUUCGAAGAUGGAGGAGUGUUAGAGACAAUGUGUCAUCAAGAGACGAGGAUUCUCAAUUUUUCUUCCUUUUUUUAAAAGAAAAAAUAUUUCUUUCAAUUGGUGGUUAUUUGUAAUUUCUAAUUGUAAUGGAUUUUUGGUGGUUAUUUGUAAUUUGAAUUAAAGUUUAUGAACUUAAUUUUGAAUU